UACGUAGGUGGCAAGCGUUGUCCGGAAUUACUGGGUGUAAAGCGCGUGUAGGCGGGAGGCCAAGUCUGCUGUGAAAUCGCCCGGCUCAACUGGGCGGGGUCGGUGGAAACUGGUCACCUGGAGGACGGUAGAGGCGAGUGGAAUUCCCGGUGUAGUGGUGAAAUGCGUAGAGAUCGGGAGGAACACCAGUGGCGAAGGCGGCUCGCUGGGCCGGACCUGACGCUGAUGCGCGACAGCGUGGGGAGCAAACAGG
rnacentral:rRNA from 1 species